rnacentral:rRNA from 1 species
UUGCUUUCUCGAGCGAGUGGCGAACGGGUGAGUAACGCGUGAGGAACCUGCCUCAAAGAGGGGGACAACAGUUGGAAACGACUGCUAAUACCGCAUAAGCCCACGGCUCGGCAUCGAGCAGGGGGAAAAGGAGCAAUCCGCUUUGAGAUGGCCUCGCGUCCGAUUAGCUAGUUGGUGAGGUAACGGCCCACCAAGGCGACGAUCGGUAGCCGGACUGAGAGGUUGAACGGCCACAUUGGGACUGAGACACGGCCCAGACUCCUACGGGAGGCAGCAGUGGGGAAUAUUGCACAAUGGGGGAAACCCUGAUGCAGCGACGCCGCGUGGAGGAAGAAGGUCUUCGGAUUGUAAACUCCUGUUGUUGGGGAAGAUAAUGACGGUACCCAACAAGGAAGUGACGGCUAACUACGUGCCAGCAGCCGCGGUAAAACGUAGGUCACAAGCGUUGUCCGGAAUUACUGGGUGUAAAGGGAGCGCAGGCGGGAAGACAAGUUGGAAGUGAAAUCUAUGGGCUCAACCCAUAAACUGCUUUCAAAACUGUUUUUCUUGAGUAGUGCAGAGGUAGGCGGAAUUCCCGGUGUAGCGGUGGAAUGCGUAGAUAUCGGGAGGAACACCAGUGGCGGAGGCGGCCUACUGGGCACCAACUGACGCUGAGGCUCGAAAGUGUGGGUAGCAAACAGGAUUAGAUACCCUGGUAGUCCACACCGUAAACGAUGAUUACUA